rnacentral:rRNA from 1 species
GACGAACGCUGGCGGCGUGCUUAACACAUGCAAGUCGAACGGUAAGGCCCUUGGGGGUACACGAGUGGCGAACGGGUGAGUAACACGCGGGUGAUCUGCCCUGCACUUUGGGAUAAGCCUGGGAAACUGGGUCUAAUACCGGAUAGGACCACGGCCUGCAUGGGUUGUGGUGGAAAGCUUUUGCGGUGUGGGAUGGGCCCGCGGCCUAUCAGCUUGUUGGUGGGGUGAUGGCCUACCAAGGCGACGACGGGUAGCCGGCCUGAGAGGGUGUCCGGCCACACUGGGACUGAGAUACGGCCCAGACUCCGACGGGAGGCAGCAGUGGGGAAUAUUGCACAAUGGGCGCAAGCCUGAUGCAGCGACGCCGCGUGGGGGAUGACGGCCUUCGGGUUGUAAACCUCUUUCAGCAGGGACGAAGUGAAAAUGACGGUACCUGCAGAAGAAGCACCGGCUAACUACGUGCCAGCCGCCGCCGUAA